UACGAAGGGCGCGAGCGUUGUCCGGAUUUAUUGGGCGUAAAGAGCUCGUAGGCGGCUUGUCGCGUCGACUGUGAAAACCCGUGGCUCAACCAUGUGGUCUGCAGUCGAUACGGGCAGGCUAGAAUUCGGUAGGGGAGACUGGAAUUCCUGGUGUAGCGGUGAAAUGCGCAGAUAUCAGGAGGAACACCGGUGGCGAAGGCGGGUCUCUGGGCCGAUAUUGACGCUGAGGAGCGAAAGCGUGGGGAGCGAACAGG
rnacentral:rRNA from 1 species